rnacentral:rRNA from 1 species
AUUGAACGCUGGCGGCAGGCCUAACACAUGCAAGUCGAGCGAGCGGCGGACGGGUGAGGAAUGUCUGGGAAACUGCCUGAUGGAGGGGGAUAACUACUGGAAACGGUAGCUAAUACCGCAUACCAUCAGAUGUGCCCCGAUGGGAUUAGCUAGUAGGUGGGGUAAUGGCUCACCUAGGCCACGAUCCCUAGCUGGUCUGAGAGGAUGACCAGCCACACUUGGACUGAGAAACGGCCCAGACUCCUACGGGAGGCAGCAGUUGGGAAUUUUGGCAAAUGGGCGAAAGCCUGAGGCAGCCAUGCCGCGUGUGUGAAGAAGGCCUUCGGUUUGGAAAGCACUUUUGGCAGGGAAGCGUUACCCGCAGAAGAAGCACCGGCUAACUCCGUGCCAGCAGCCGCGGUAAUAC